rnacentral:rRNA from 1 species
GACGAACGCUGGCGGCGUGCCUAAUGCAUGCAAGUCGAGCGGGCUACGAUCUUCGGAUUGUAGCUUAGCGGCGAACGGGUGAGUAACACGUAGGUAAUCUACCCUUCAGAGGAGGACAACCUCAGGAAACUGAGGCUAAACCUUCAUACGUUCACUGGUAGGGAUACUGGUGAAGAAAGAGUUACCUUAGUGGUAGCUGCUGAAGGAUGAGCCUGCGGCCCAUCAGGUAGUUGGUGAGGUAACGGCUCACCAAGCCGAAGACGGGUAACCGGUCUGAGAGGAUGUCCGGUCACACUGGGACUGAGACACGGCCCAGACUCCUACGGGAGGCAGCAGCAGGGAAUCUUGGGCAAUGGGCGAAAGCCUGACCCAGCGACGCCGCGUGGAGGAAGAAGUCCUUCGGGUCGGUAACGUACCUCGGACGUGGGGACGGAGGGAAGGGACGGGUACCCCGACGUACGAAAGGGAACGGGACGUAACUAACGUAGCCACGCGAGCCGCCGGUAACGAAGGUAAGUACGA